GAUAAACGCUGGCGGCGUGCUUAAUGCAUGCAAGUCGCACGGUCCUUCCGGUUUCGGCCGGGAGGAUAGUGGCGGACGGGUGAGUAACACGUACGUAACCUGACCGGAAGUGGGGAAUAACUCGCCGAAAGGUGAGCUAAUACCGCAUACGGUCGCCGGUGAGAGACCGGGGGACGAAAGCCUUCGGGCGCUUUCGGAGGGGCGUGCGGCCGAUUAGCUAGUUGGUGAGGUAACGGCCCACCAAGGCGAUGAUCGGUAGCUGGUCUGAGAGGACGGCCAGCCACACGGGGACUGAGACACGGCCCCGACUCCUACGGGAGGCAGCAGCAAGGAAUCUUGCGCAAUGGGCGAAAGCCUGACGCAGCAACGCCGCGUGGGGGAUGAAGGCCUUCGGGUCGUAAACCCCUUUUGCAGGGGAAGCAACUGACGGUACCUUGCGAAGAAGCCACGGCUAACUACGUGCCAGCCGCCGCCGUAAUAC
rnacentral:rRNA from 1 species